GGAGGACACUAGGGAUCGCAAGACCUUGCGCUCUUUGAGCGGCCGAUGCCUGAUUAGCUAGUUGGUGAGGUAAAGGCUUACCAAGGCGACGAUCAGUAGCUGGUCUGAGAGGACGACCAGCCACACUGGGACUGAGACACGGCCCAGACUCCUACGGGAGGCAGCAGUGGGGAAUUUUGGACAAUGGGGGAAACCCUGAUCCAGCCAUGCCGCGUGAGUGAAGAAGGCCUUCGGGUUGUAAGCUCUUUCAGCCGGAACGAAACAGUCACGGCUAAUACCCGUGACGACUGACGGUACCGGAAGAAGAAGCACCGGCUAACUACGUGCCAGCAGCCGCGGUAAUACGUAGGGUGCAAGCGUUAAUCGGGAUUACUGGGCGUAAAGCGUGCGCAGGCGGUUUUGUAAGUCAGAUGUGAAAUCCCCGGGCUUAACCUGGGAACUGCGUUUGAAACUACAAAGCUAGAAGGG
rnacentral:rRNA from 1 species